rnacentral:rRNA from 1 species
GUGGGGAAUCUUGCGCAAUGGGCGAAAGCCUGACGCAGCCAUGCCGCGUGAAUGAUGAAGGUCUUAGGAUUGUAAAAUUCUUUCACCGGGGACGAUAAUGACGGUACCCGGAGAAGAAGCCCCGGCUAACUUCGUGCCAGCAGCCGCGGUAAUACGAAGGGGGCUAGCGUUGCUCGGAAUUACUGGGCGUAAAGGGCGCGUAGGCGGACAGUUUAGUCAGAGGUGAAAGCCCAGGGCUCAACCUUGGAAUUGCCUUUGAUACUGGCUGUCUUGAGUACGGGGGAGGUGGGUGGAAAUCCGAGUGUAGAGGUGCAAUUCGUAGAUAUGCGGAAGAACAACAGUGGCGAAGGCGACUCACUGGCCCGUUACUGACGCUGAGGCGCGAAAGCGUGGGGAGCAAACAGGAUUAGAAACCCCUGUAGUCC